rnacentral:rRNA from 1 species
AACGAACGCUGGCGGCAUGCCUAACACAUGCAAGUCGAACGAGAUCCUUCGGGGUCUAGUGGCGCACGGGUGCGUAACGCGUGGGAAUCUGCCCUUAGGUUCGGAAUAACAGUUAGAAAUGACUGCUAAUACCGGAUGAUGACGUUAAGUCCAAAGAUUUAUCGCCUGAGGAUGAGCCCGCGUAGGAUUAGCUAGUUGGUGUGGUAAAGGCGCACCAAGGCGACGAUCCUUAGCUGGUCUGAGAGGAUGAUCAGCCACACUGGGACUGAGACACGGCCCAGACUCCUACGGGAGGCAGCAGUGGGGAAUAGUGGACAAUGGGCGCAAGCCUGAUCCAGCAAGGCCGCGUGAGUGAUGAAGGCCUUAGGGUUGUAAAGCUCUUUUACCCGGGAUGAUAAUGACAGUACCGGGAGAAUAAGCCCCGGCUAACUCCGUG